CCUACGGGAGGCAGCAGUGAGGAAUAUUGGUCAAUGGCCGGAAGGCUGAACCAGCCAAGUCGCGUGAAGGAAGAAGGAUCUAUGGUUUGUAAACUUCUUUUAUAGGGGAAUAAAGGUAUCCACGUGUGGAGAUUUGCAUGUACCCUAUGAAUAAGCAUCGGCUAACUCCGUGCCAGCAGCCGCGGUAAUACGGAGGAUGCGAGCGUUAUCCGGAUUUAUUGGGUUUAAAGGGUGCGUAGGUGGGUUUUUAAGUCAGCGGUUAAAGGUUGUGGCUCAACCCUAAGAUUGCCGUUGAAACUGGAAGACUUGAGUGUGUUUGAGGUAGGCGGAAUUCGUGGUGUAGCGGUGAAAUGCAUAGAUAUCACGCAGAACUCCGAUUGCGAAGGCAGCUUACUAGGCCAUAACUGACGCUGAAGCACGAAAGCGUGGGGAGCAAACAGGAUUAGAUACCCUGGUAGUC
rnacentral:rRNA from 1 species